rnacentral:rRNA from 1 species
CAGUCGCCGCGGUAAUACGAAGGGUGCAAGCGUUACUCGGAAUUACUGGGCGUAAAGCGUGCGUAGGUGGUGGUUUAAGUCCGUUGUGAAAGCCCUGGGCUCAACCUGGGAAUUGCAGUGGAUACUGGGUCACUAGAGUGUGGUAGAGGAUAGUGGAAUUUCCGGUGUAGCAGUGAAAUGCGUAGAGAUCGGAAGGAACAUCUGUGGCGAAGGCGACUAUCUGGGCCAACACUGACACUGAGGCACGAAAGCGUGGGGAGCAAACAGGAUUAGAGACCCCUGUAGUCCCUGUCUCUUAUAA